UUUAUACCCAUUCUCUGCAGAACUUCUUUUCAUCUUUGUGUUUCCUCUUUCUCUCUUGCGCACAAACCUUUUCUUUCUCUCUUUCCUGUUCUCUGGCCUCUUUUCCCAAACCCUACCUUUGGUCUUCUCUCUUCCCCCUCAAACCCUACCUUCGCCGCUGCCGUUUUCUCCUCCCAAUCUUCAAUAAACAAAUCACAAUUUCUUCUCACUCUCAUAAGCAUAUGAAAUUUGUAAACAAUUUUAGGUAUGCAUUCUUCUUUUCUCUUAUUAUUUUGUUUCAGUUUCUUUUGCAAUAUUUGCUGGUUGUGUUGUUACGGUGAAAAUCUCUCUCUCUCUCUCUCUCUCUCCAUUUUGUCUCUUUGCUAUGAAUACCUAGCGCCGUGAAAGACGAACUCGCAAAUGCCAAAAAAUCAUACCCACUAAAAUCCUUGUCUCUGAUUCUAUGGUGAGCCGAAAUCUGUAUUGAUGUGUAUGCUUGGAUUUCUCUAUUGAUUUCAAGGUCGGAUUAUUGAUGUGUAUGCUUGGAUUUCUCUAUUGAUUUCAAGGAUGUCAAGGGCUGCAAGACACUAAUUUGAACACUAAUUUCAGGAUGCUUCAAAAUGGGUCUGUGAUGAUAGAGUUAUCAUUCAAUAGGGAGAUUUUUAAUGGAUUACCAAGGAAACUACAUUUCUUUGAAUCAUGGUUUGUUUGAAUCAUAUCUAGCUAGAUACCACAUAAUCAGGUAACUCAGCUAACCAAGCAAUUGAACUACUCAUUCAAAAAGGAGUUCCAGAAUCCCACAUUAUAUUUCAGAAUCUCAUUUCACUGAGUUUAUUUGGAGGCUUUUCUUUACAAAUACAAUCAUGCUAUUACUAUGGUGGAUGCUUUUCUGAUGAUGCCAGUUGUUGUGUUGUGUAACUUUGCAGACAAAAUCCAUGGUAAAGCCAUGGACCAUAAAAAUGAGAUUGUUGAGCUUCUUCUAAAGGAGAUAAAGGUGAAAGACAUGGAAUUGGUCGUUGCAACACGGGAGUUGGAGAUUUUGACACUUGAUCGAGAAACAACACAGCUCAAAGACUCAUUGCUAUUCUCUAUGUUUUUGCAUUGCUACUCUCUAUGUUUUUGCAUUGGUAUCUGUUUUUGCAGAGAAAAAUGCAUUAACCUUCCUGAUAUGGACCACAGUUCACACUCAAAUUUUAGUUGCAUUAGUUGCAAAUAGUUGCUUAAUGAUAGAAUAUGCAUCAAGAUAAAUCAAAGACUAAUUUUUUUGCCAUGGGAGAAUGAGACUGAUUUUUUACUCAUGGACUUAAUGACAGAAGGUUUGAUUGGUGAAAGAUUUGUUACAGCUAAUUGUUAUAAUAAUAUCCAUUUAUUGCGAAAGAUUUGUUGUUAAUGGUAUAAACCUAAGUUAAAGGAAUAGAUUCAAAUGCACUAUUGUUAAAGAUUUA